rnacentral:rRNA from 1 species
CAGCCGCGCGGGAAUACGAAGGGUGCAAGCGUUAAUCGGAAUUACUGGGCGUAAAGCGUGCGUAGGCGGUUUGUUAAGUCUGUUGUGAAAUCCCCGGGCUCAACCUGGGAAUGGCAAUGGAUACUGGCUCGCUAGAAUGUGUCAGAGGAUGAUGGAAUUCCCGGUGUAGCGGUGAAAUGCGUAGAGAUCGGGAGGAACAUCAGUGGCGAAGGCGGCCAUCUGGGACAACACUGACGCUGAGGCACGAAAGCGUGGGGAGCAAACAGGAUUAGAUACCCCCGUAGUCCCUGUCUCUUAUACA